ACCCAUGCAGAUGUACAUUGUCCAAAACGAACUCCAAAAGGACCAUAUGGUUUAAGUGACAGUUCACAAACUUUCAUUGACUGUGUCACACUGUCAUCAACUAAUGGAGACAAGGUAUCGGGGCCGUUACUGCCGGCACUCACACCCAGCCUGUUCUCCAAUGUCCCACCCUACAUCAACUUUAUAAUGCCUGGACAACAGAAAGAACCAUUUCCGGAGAAUAUAGGUCGUCGUCUACUUUGGUAUGACGGGGGUUCCCCUCUCGUCUCUGCAACAGCCAUCAGAUCCGGCUACUCCCUGACUAAAAAUUUCUCUCUGGCAGUUGGAUAUUACGUAGGAUGUUUACAACCCAGUGAAACCUACAAGUUCCAGAAUUUGAGACCCAG